ACUCCUACGGGAGGCAGCAGUGGGGAAUAUUGCACAAUGGGCGCAAGCCUGAUGCAGCCAUGCCGCGUGUGUGAAGAAGGCCUUCGGGUUGUAAAGCACUUUCAGUCGUGAGGAAGGUAGUGUAGUUAAUAGCUGCAGUAUUUGACGUUAGCGACAGAAGAAGCACCGGCUAACUCCGUGCCAGCAGCCGCGGUAAUACGGAGGGUGCGAGCGUUAAUCGGAAUUACUGGGCGUAAAGCGCAUGCAGGUGGUUUGUUAAGUCAGAUGUGAAAGCCCGGGGCUCAACCUCGGAAUAGCAUUUGAAACUGGCAGACUAGAGUACUGUAGAGGGGGUAGAAUUUCAGGUGUAGCGGUGAAAUGCGUAGAGAUCUGAAGGAAUACCGGUGGCGAAGGCGGCCCCUGGACAGAUACUGACACUCAGAUGCGAAAGCGUGGGAGCAAACAGGAUUACGAUACCCC
rnacentral:rRNA from 1 species